UACGUAGGUGGCAAGCGUUGUCCGGAAUUAUUGGGUGUAAAGGGAGCGUAGACGGACUGUCAAGCCAGAUGUGAAAAUCCGGGGCUCAACCCCGGACCUGCAUUUGGAACUGAUGGACUGGAGUACCGGGUGGGCAGGCGGAAUUCCUGGUGUAGCGGUGAAAUGCGUAGAUAUCAGGAGGAACACCGGUGGCGAAGGCGGCCUGCUGGACGGAUACUGACGUUGAGGCUCGAAAGCGUGGGGAGCAAACAGG
rnacentral:misc_RNA from 1 species